UGAUGAAUCAUAAGGGGGUUCAAAAAAUUUGGGGGGAGGGAUUUUUUUUUCCUUUUUUUUCUUUAAAAUUUUCCAUUUUAAAUUGGUUAUUUCUGAUUUAUAUAUAAAAGCAAAUGAUAAUGAUGUGGUUUGAAUAGGUAAAUUAAAAAAUUUUAAGUUCUUAGACCACUUUCAUUCUGUGUGAGAAACCUAUGCUGUGUCAAAUAUUUAAUUACAAUCCAAAUUCAGUGCUGUAUCAAGCUUGAAUGUUGUGUCCAUACUUGCCCCAACUGUUCAGGGUUCGACCUCUGCGGUCGUAUCAAGCUGCGCCCCAGCGGAGCAUUUUAUUAUACGACCGCAAAAAAAUUUUUGUGGUCGUAUAUUGGUAUGACGUUGGCGUCGUCGUCGUCGUCGUCGUCCGAAUACACAUUAGUUUUCGCACUCUAACUUUAGUUUAAGUGAAUGGAUCUCAAUGAAAUUUUACCAUACGGUUCAAUACCACAAAAGGAAGGUGGGGAUUGAUUUUGGGGGUUAUGGUACUAACAGUUAAGGAAUUAGGGGCCAAAAGGGGCCAAAAAUAAGCAUUUUUGUAACUUCCAGACAUAACUUGUGUGUAAGUGUAUGGAUCUCUCUGACAUUGUAACACAAGGUUCCAUAUCACAAAGGGAAUGCUGGGAUUGAAUUUGGGGGUAAUUGCCUCCAAAUUUUAGGAAUUAGGGGCCAAAAAGGGGCAAAAAACGAGCAUUUUUCUAGUUUCAUGACAAUAACUUGUUUGUAAGUGUAUGGAUCUUUAUGAAAUUGUACUACAAGGUUCCAUAUCACAAAGGGAAUACUGGGAUUGAUUUUUGGGGUAAUUUCCUCCAAAUUUUAGGAAUUAGGGGCCAAAAAGGGGCAAAAAACAAGCAUUUUUCUAGUUUCAUGACAAUAACUUGUUUGUAAGUGUAUGGAUCUUUAUGAAAUUGUACUACAAGGUUCCAUAUCACAAAGGGAAAGCUGGAAUUGAGUUUGGGGGUAAUUGCCCUAAACGUUUAGGAAUUUGGGGCCAAAAAGGGGCCAAAAAACAAGCAUUUUUCUAGUUUCCAGACAAUAACUUGUGUUCAAGUGUAUGAAUCUCUCUGAAAUUGUACUGCAAGGUACCAUACCACAAAGGGAAAGCUGGGAUUGAGUUUGGGGGUGAUGAAUCAUAAGGGGGUUCAAAAAAUUGGGGGGGAUUUUUUUUUUCAUUUUUUUUCUUUAACAUUUUCCAUUUUAAAUUGGUUAUUUCUGAUUUAUAUAUAAAAGCAAAUAAUAAUGAUAUGGUUUGAAUAGGCAUACAUGUGAACCUCCCGACGGGAGUACAAUAAUCCCGUUUUCAGGGGUCUCCUCCCGACCUCCCGUUGAAGAGGAAAAAAUCACGUGUAUGAAAUUUUUCAUGAAUGAAAAAUUUCUGACCAACAUAUCAUCUCAGGCAUCUGGUGUAACUGACAUUACCUGAAGUUAUAUUUUACCUGUAAAUCAAUUAACAUGCAUAAUUAUAUGGCUUCACUUGUCAGCUUGGGUGUCAAACAUACUGGUAAUCAACGAUUUUUACCUCAGGCUAACUGCCAUUGUGUAACAAAAACUGUGUAUUUAUUGGGUUACUUCCCUUGAUUUAUCCUGUUUUAAGUUACUUUCCUUUUAAUAAUGAAAAUUUUUAAAAGAAUAUAAAUAAAAUAUAAAUUGAACAAAUAAUCAUAAAAGGAUGGUUAUUAAAUGAUUUUAAAUGUCUUAGGACAAAUAAAAAAAUAAUAAUUUGAAAAUUAUUUGAGGAUUCUAUACUUCCUUUCAAGGCUUAAAUUGAAAUUUAUAUAAUAACUAUGACCCUAAUUUUACAGAUAGAAUGAUUUUCUGAGUUUGCAAAUAA